rnacentral:rRNA from 1 species
UUUAAUUUGAGAGUUUGAUCCUGGCUCAGGAUGAACGCUGGCGGCGUGCUUAACACAUGCAAGUCGAACGGAGUUAAUAAGUGGAAGUCUUCG